UGGAAGCUUGAUGCUCGGCAGACUUCUUGGAACAAUAACCCAGUGUGAAGCAGGGUUGUCUUUCACAAGGAGGAGUCGAAGAUCUGACCGCUUAAUGAUGGACGGAGGAAAUAGGCAGUCCGCGACAGGGACCUUGGAAGAGUCAUAGGUAGUCCAAGGCAAGAAACCAAAAGAACCGGAAGAAAAAAUAAAGACCAACCCCAAUGUGAGCAGAGAGGAAAAAAACACAAAUCAUGCAAACAAUAGAAGCAAGCAACAACAAGAGCAUUCCGAACAAAACUGAGUCCUCAGAUCCAAUUCCCCAGAGCAGCCCAGAGUAGGCCCAAAGCCUCAAUAUUCAGUUCAUCAUAUCAACGGGGCAAAUUGCCACAAAGUUCGCAGACACUAAGCUCAGCAGCCUUAGCUUCACAGAGAGGGGAGCUAUCAGUCUAUCUGGUCCGGCAUUUAAAUUGUCCGAACAAUGGAUCAUGUCUCACAUUAGGACCCAGGCUCCACUGCAGAGAAUUGCUCUGGGCCGAGACUUUGCUGCCAAAGCCCUUUCCAACCUGUCCAAAUCAUUUCAGCACCCAGAGCGAUCAAGCCUGGCCCGACUCUCAACACCUUGACUUCCCAGUCUAUCUGGGCCAGCCAAUGUUUAAAUCAUCCAAACAGCAGAUUGUACGUCACAUCAGGGUCUUGGCACCACCACAGCAAAUUGCUCUGGGCCUAGAACACACUGUUCAACGAUUCGCUUUGGACCUAGACUUCACUGCUGAAGAAGUCGUUCUUGACAUCUUUAAAUUGGCUAGGUGCUUAAGAGUGAUCCGCCCUCAAACCCAGAUUAGUUGGAUGGGCAUUGGAACUCCUCUGCCUCAUAUUCUCCACUCCAAAUCGGUCGCUCCAACCAGCAUGGCUCCACCUCUCUUGAGUUCACUUUGCCUUUGCUGGUCUCUUCAUUAUUUGCAGUGAUAGGUUACCACAAUUUACUUCAAAAAAAAGUGUUAUUAGUAAUGGUUUUAAUUGAAUUCUUUUGCUUUCGAACCAUCAGUAAGCUGUUGCACGCUAUCUUUAUAGUGCCAUCUUAAAUCAGGUUCCGAGUAAGGAGGAAGAUGGUAUUUUAGAGUAACAGGUGUAUCCAUACUAUGGAUUAUUUGAAAGCCAAGAUGUUUUAAGAACAAUACAAAGGAAUUAUUUCCUUCCUUUUAUCAACUGAUAGCAAAAGAAAUCUCUUCCAUUAAGUUUAUCAAUUUCCAUAGAGACAUCCUGUACUGAACUUGUAUCAUUCCACAUAGAAAUAAAUUCAAUUAUAAAUCGCUCUGGUUGAAACUAGCUCUAAUGCCUUGCCUUGAACACAAACACAGUGGGAUAUCCUUGUGAUCCAGUGCUCGCAUUUUAAGAUUUGGCGGGAAUUUUACAUAAAUCCACCAAAGCCUCUAAAACCUUAUAAAUCCUUUCAUAUUUUCCAAGUAAUUUAAAAAUUUAAUCUAAACCUAAAUGCUGUAAUUUUGACUUCAUUUACCAGCAUGAUUGUAGAUCAUGUGGUUUCUUAAGUCAGAAAUGACUUCCAGCUGCACAUACUCUGAAAAUUUUCAGCAUUCUUGUGAUGUUAUCUAUUUUUCAAAUUCAAUUUGUGCAAAUACAUUAAAUACCAUGAUGACGUGGCUCAGCCUUCCACAGGAAAGUCACUUUUCACCUAUCAAUCUUCUGCUCAGUGGUUUAGAUUGUCCAAGAAUGCUUGAAUUUCAAAAUACUUAUUGCAUAUUCAGUUCCCCACUUCCUACCACAUAAAGUUAUCUUGAGCCCUUUGAUACUCCAUAAACUUUGUCAUCCUUUAAGUUAGACCUUUCACAUAUCACUAAAUACUACAUUAAAAAAUACAGAUAUUGCUCAGUUUACAAAUAAUGCCACUGACUCCAUCGGAUAUGUGGCCUUGAUUUACAAAGCUUUAAUCACCAUUUCAAUUAAACCAUGCUAAUUAUCAUUUGUAAUGCAUUUUGUGCAUCCCACACAAUGUUACAGAAAAGUUUGCCUUUGUUGCAUGGUAUAGGAAUUGUUAUCGUGAUUCAUCACAUUUUGUUCUGCACACUCUUUAGUAUUGAAUCAUAACAUCCCAGCAGUUUUAAAGAAUUGCAUCCCCUCUGAAAAAAAAGGGGUAUUAUAAUCGCAAAUACUAAACCAGAGUAAGUAGGUGGGGUGGGGGAGAGGAAGCAGAUCACGGAGAAGCAGCAGUGAGAAAUGAUCCCUCUGAACUUCCAUCGAAGAGAAGAUUUAAACUUCUUCAGAGUCGUCAUGCCUUGAAGAGAUUUCACAGCGGAGCAGCAAAUCAUAAACACAAGAGAUUAGAACUGCAUAAUGUGAUCUGAGAGAAUGGGUAAAAUGAGGGUUAAGGAUGUGGUUUGAAUGAGGUUGGUGGAUAUUCAGGAACAUUGGGCUCUUUUGGAAGAGAAUGCCCUCACACAGUACAAGACCAAAAUAAGGGAUAUGUGUGCAUGGCUCCUAUGCAUACAAGAGUUUGAAAAAAAACUAUUAGAAAGCAAUGUUAAAUUGACAAAUGAGGCUGGAUUUGAUGAAAUAGAACAGAACAACAUGGAAGAGUAAUUGGAUUUCCAUGCUGAAUAGCUUUUAGAAAUGAAGAUAUGAACGAAAAGCCAACUGGGCAAUAACACAAACGCCAAAGCAAAUUACCACAAGGUUUCAUAUGCAUUUUACCACAGAGAAAAUGACUGCCAUCCUCAUAGACAAUGGUUACAAUAUGGA